rnacentral:rRNA from 1 species
UACGUAGGGCGCAAGCGUUGUCCGGAAUUAUUGGGCGUAAAGAGCUCGUAGGCGGUUUGUUGCGUCGGCUGUGAAAUCCCGAGGCUCAACCUCAGGCCUGCAGUCGAUACGGGCGGACUUGAGUACUGCAGGGGAGACUGGAAUUCCUGGUGUAGCGGUGAAAUGCGCAGAUAUCAGGAGGAACACCGGUGGCGAAGGCGGGUCUCUGGGCAGUAACUGACGCUGAGGAGCGAAAGCGUGGGGAGCGAACAGG